rnacentral:rRNA from 1 species
CACGUAGGGUGCGAGCGUUGUCCGGAAUUAUUGGGCGUAAAGAGCUCGUAGGCGGUGUGUCGCGUCGGCCGUGAAAACCUGCAGCUUAACUGUGGGCGUGCGGUCGAUACGGGCAUCACUGGAGUUCGGCAGGGGAGACUGGAAUUCCUGGUGUAGCGGUGAAAUGCGCAGAUAUCAGGAGGAACACCGGUGGCGAAGGCGGGUCUCUGGGCCGACACUGACGCUGAAGCGCGAAAGCUAGGGGAGCGAACGGG